AUUUAUCUAAUAUAUAAAGUAUAUUUGACUUCCAAUCAAAAAGUUUGCAUCCCAAGAUAAAUA
rnacentral:tRNA from 1 species